UUUUAUCCUCUCUGUUCAUCUGACAGAAAGAAAAACUGCAAGCUAAUAACAGCCCUGCAACAGAACCAAUUGAAGGAGAUUAUUUUUAUCUACAGGUUAAAAUAAUAGGAAAGCAGGGAAUAUGCAAAGAGCAGAAUGUAGCUCUGACAUGAAGAAUUAGUCACUGUUGGAAAAGCAUUGCUUGAACUGUUGAAGGAAGAGCCUUGCUGUCCAUAAAAGCAACACAACAGAAGCUGUACUUCCACAUGAUCUUGAAAACAGAGUGAACCUCGGUCAUAUGGCAUCCUUCUGGCAACUAUGCGGAUCAACGUGGGAUGAAAUAAGUCACCAGUACGGUUGGAACCUACAGAUGCACGACGCUAGACUUCAACAAUUGACUUUAGACAAUUUGAGCUAAUGGAGUAGCUGAGACAAACUACUUAAUACUACUAAGUGAACCUUUACAAGAAGGAAGUGAAAUACUUUGCUAGGGGAUUUCUAGAAGUUUGCUGGCAGCAGAGUAAUGGUAACAUCUUGUCUUCUUUGAAGUUGGCAACCCCAGGGAUGUUCUGAAGUGUACUUGCUGUCUGUGGCAUAAAAGGCCUCACCAUCAAUGGAGUGCAAAGGGACUGACCUGAAGAAGAGGAUCUGCUACAAACACUUCAGUGGUAAAGUGGCUAUUUAUUGGAUGAGUGGCCUGAGUUCUGUUGGGAAAUGGCUUGGUUCUCCACUGUAUUGUGUCUUAUGCGCUCAUAAAUUGUAUGUCAAAAUUUAAAUCGGAGCCAUUGCCAUUCAUCUCCAUUUUUCGCAGGCACAAGGUAGUGAAAACCCAAGCCCAAAGAGUACGCUAUGGAAAAGCGCACACAUACACACAAAUACAUAAAAUCCAAAUAAAUAAGUAUGAAACUAAAAAUGGAGUCAGUUGUAUGGGUCACUUUUAGAUUUCAAUGGCCCUAAAUUGAAAUGAUGUGUCUUAAUAUUUGAGGUUUAAAAAGAGACAAGUAUUUUGUGGGUGUUUAACAUGUAUUCUUUUUUCAGAUAUAUAUAUAUAUAUAUGGCCCAGGAAAAAUUAUAUGCUUCUUGUUGUAGAAUCCAGAAUAUUCUAUAAUGAAACAAAUAUUCAAUUUAAAAAAUUCAUAAUAACUGAACUAUUUUUCCAAACCUAACAUGUCCCUUAAAUCUUAGUGUGACAUCUAAAAAAAAGUUUAACUAUUUUUAAAAAACACUAAACAUGAGUUCAGCUUUGUUAAAUAAUUAAUUUUAGAGUAUCAGAUUGGAGUAUAAGGGAAAAGGUUUUGUUUUAUAGAAAGUCAAAAUCACUUUUAGAGUUUAUUGACCUAUUUAAAAAAAUAAUCCCCUCUGGUUUGAGAGAAAGCAUGAGAAAUAUUACCAAAUGCCUUUUGCAUUAAGCAAAUGUAUGUGCAAUUUAAAAAGGAAGUACUGAGGGCAGAUGCAUUUCAACUUAAGUGCUAUCCAAUACUAUUUUUUCUAUCAAAAUAUUAAUCAUAUAUACAGAUAUAUGUAUAAAUGUAUAAAAAUGCAAACUGUUUACCUAGCAUAUUUAGGACAAAACAAAUGAUUACAUCUGUAGUAAUUAAUGUGUAUGGAUGGUUACAAUAAAAAUGCUGAUGCAUCUCAAACUAUAACAAACAUUGUACCAUGCUAAGAAAACAAUACACCAUACCGUAACACACUAUCAAAGAAAUGAUAUGUAAGUAAUGGAUCAAAGUCCAUUGAGAGUUCCCAAACUCUGGUGUUAGAAAUCCCUUCUUUCUUCCAUUUCAAAUAAUUGCAACUUUUUUGUUUAGAGCUUAUCUAAGAAGCUUUAGGGAGAUGAGUGAGCAGGUACUUAACAGGACUUGUGUUAAACAUACACAGUUAGUUCAGGUGUUGCCUUCUGGCAAUUUCUGUGUGUUCUCUUAUAUUAAUCUUUGUAAUUUAAUAGCUCUAAACAGAGAUGAUAAUUAUCUUAAACAAAAAUGCCUUUUAUGUUUAGUCUUUAGCACCUUAUGUUUCACUUUCCUUCUAGUCCAUAAACCACACGGACAAAACUAACCUCGGUCAGAAAUGUAAAAUUUAGUACUUUUGAUAUUGCGACACAGGUUAUGAUCAAAACUACAAGGCCCAGUCCAAUUCCCAGGACUUAGCAUUCCAAUUUAUUUUUGUGGUAGUUUUUCACAAUAUCUGGGAAACUUUUCUUAGUACCUUGUUAUAAAAAUUGGAUCUAAUCACUUAUAAGAAAGUGCAAAGUACUGUCUUAAUAGUUUACUACAUCCAACGCUGAAAAAGUAGGUAUCAAUCUACCACUGAAACAGUAGUUAGCACUGCUGAUUGUGUAUAGCCUUCUUCUGGAUAUGAUGUGCCUAACACUGACAGAGACCUGUAUCUUUUUUUGCCCUUGGUUAACACAUGUAUUGCUUCAUAUACCAGUAAUGAGUCUUUGAAAUUGAAUUGAUCUAAAACCAGACUUUAUUGUUUCUCAGGUGAGAAAUAGACAGAGAACAAUUGGCCUAGGCCACAAAGUUCAGAUUUACUUUGAAUUAAAAUCAAAACUUUCUUAAAAUUAACUUUUUUAAUUUAUGUGGCAACCAAUUUUUUGUGGUGGAGAACAAAUUAAAGAGACAGCCUCUGUCCUGAGGGACUUGGAAUCUAAGUCCCGUGUAGACUGGCAUAUGAGAACAGCCCUAUGGUCUGCAACUCUACUUUACAGCUGGAGGAUAAUCACCUAACUUGAGACUCUCCACAAUGACUAAGAGCCAGAACUUCUUCCAGCAAAGACUUCAAACUCAAAACAGAUCAUACGGCAUAAGGACAAUGAAGAGCAAUUGGUUGUUAUAACACAACCAUGGUAACAUCUCAGCACUCAGCUAUCAUUCCAGAUGGGAACUAAGAGCAGCAACACAUAGAGUUAUCCACAUUACUGCAAAGACUUCAGUAACAUAUAAUACAAUGAUCAUGGUCAACUUUGAAGCACUCAAGGACCCAAUCUAGUGAGAUUCCUUCUACCAGCACCUCAACAAAAAACUGGAGAAUGCCAAUCAACAGCAAUGGGAGAAUAUUGGAAGUGCUAGGGAUGCCUUCAAAUCCACCAUCAUCAGUGCCUGUGAAGAGACACUUGGAUUCUCUUCCAGGAAAAACCAAGACAGGUUUGAUGAGAAUGACCAAGAGAUCCAAGAGUUGAUUGACUGUAAGCACCAGGCCUUUUGUGCUUAUCAGAAUGACACCGACUCAAAACAAAAGAAACCGAAUUACCAACAAGCCAAGGAAGAGGUCCAAAGGAGAACCAGUGAUAUGAAUAACAGAUAAUGGGAAGACAAAGUGAAGGAGAUUCAACAUCUCACUGACAUCCACAAUAUGUGCGGUUUCCUUAGUGCCACCAAAACUGUCUAUGGUCUGAGCACUCGAGGAACAACCCCUUGAGACCUAAGGAUGGAUGAGAUCUGAUCAAGGAAAGGAAAGCCAACAACACCUGUUGGAAGGAGCAUUUCAAAGACCUCAAUCUACAGGCUGUUGUAGAUGAUUGUUCUCAAUGCUACCCCACAACACCCUGUCAGAGAUUAUCUUGGAAUCAGAUGAGGUGAGGAAAGACAUCAACAGAUUAAGAAUGACAAGGCUUCUGGAGCACAUGGAAUUCCCAUGGAAAUCUGCAAGCAGAAGGGAGAGGAGCUUACAUCAGAGCCCCAUGCCCUCAUCUUAAGAAACUGGAGUGAUGAGGAAACCCAAGAUGACCUCAGCGAUGCAAUGAUCAUGAUAGUCUUCAAGAAAAACAGAUAGGUAUGACUGUAGAAACUACAGAGGGCUCACCUUGCUGUCCACCCUAGAAAAAAAGCAUUGCAAGAACCCUCCUGAACCAUCUUCUUCCACUUGAUGAAGAGCUCCUUGCAGAAUUUCAGUGUGGGUUUAAGGCACAAAUAAGAACAACUGACAUGAUCUUCACUGCUCACCAGCAUGAAAGCCUUCAACACUACCAACUAAAAAGUGCUGUGGAGGAUCCUUCUGAGGUAAGGAUACCCACCGAAAUUCACCAUAAUUCUUCCCCUGCUCCAUUACGGUAUGCAAGCAGUGGUUCUCAGUAAUGAAUCUAUCACAGAUCCCUUUUGAAGUUAGGACUAGAGUUAAGCAAGGCUGUGUCAUUGCUCCAACAGUCUUCUCAAUAUUCCUUACCACAAUAUGAUAUCUGACCACCAACAAGCUUCCAGUUGGAAUGAAGCUAAACAACUGAAUGGAUGGUAAGCUCUUUAGUCUCAGCCAAGACUUCCCAAACCUUAAUCACUGAGCUCUAGUAUGCUGAUGGUGCUGUAGUAUAUGAUCACUCAAAAAUGGAUCUUCAGGCAAUUGUCAACUUCUUUACUGAGCCAUACAAGAAAACAGGACUGACAUUUAACAUUUAGAAGACUAAGCUCUUCCAUCAAAAAGCUGUUAAUGAGCAGUCCCCAGAUUUGGUCAUUCAGAUUUAUGGUAAGACUCUAGAGAACAUUGAGUAUUUCCCCUACUUCAGAAGUUCUCUCUCACAGACGGCUGACAUUGACAAAAAAAUCCAACAUCACCUCAAAUGUGCAAGUGCAGCCUUUGGACACCCGAGGAAAUCAGAUUUGAUACCAAGCUCAGGGUUUAUCAAGCAGUCGUGAUCCCUACUUUACCAUACAGUGCUGACAUAUGGAAAAUGCAGGAGUUGCCUCAAGUUGCUGGAGUAGUACUAUCAAUGCUGCCUGUGGAAGAUCCUUUGAAUCCAGUGGCAAGACAGACUCACCAACAUUAGCAUCUUCUCGCGAGCAAACACCAGGAGCAUUGAGGCAAUGAUCAUCUGACAUCAAAUUUGCUGAGCCAGCCACAUUAUUCAGAUGUCUAACUCCAGACUCCCAAUGCAAGUUUUAUUCUCCCAGCUUAGAAAGCACUUCAAAAACAUUCUCAAGGCCAACUUAAAAAAAUACAAUGUGAACAUCAAUUUGUGAGAGACUAUCACCUGGGACCGCCCCAAAUGGAGGAAGAGUUUUCUACAAAGAUGUUAGUACUUUGAAAUCUCAUAAUGACAACAAAAAACAGAAAAGCAGGAGCAGCAGAAACAUUAUGUUGGGGACUGAACCAAAAUCUAGAGCUACCCACCCCACACAGAAACAUGUGCCUGAGUUGCAAUAGAAGCUGAUGAUCCUAGAUUGCUAGCCCACCAUCUUUGGACCCACAGAUAAGGCAGUCUUGGAGGGCAAUCAUCCUUGACUAUAAGAGAUUGCCAAUUAUGAUAUCUAGUCAUACGGGUUAUUUUUAGUAAUAAUUAAGACUCUUCAGAUAAAAUUGUGAUUACAUGUGUGUGUACACACACAUACAUGCACAUGAACGAUGGAAAGAUUGAAGUUGGCAUAGAGGCCUGAACUGAAUUUCUGAGGGGUUAUGUCAGGUCAUUUACUUUUUACAGUUCAUUUUGGUAUGUCAUUGGAUCUGUAUUUCUUCUGCAUUCCAAAGAAAGCUCCUGAGUUCAUAUUGUGCCUCCACUGCAUACAAAGCAAGGUGUCCAGGGAUAUGGACAAAUGUACAUUUUAGCUGCUUUAAAAGGGCUGAGGGACCUGUUGCUUGGCAGUGCACAACAGCUGUUAUGAUCUAACAGUUACAUCUGCAUGAUCCUUCAGGAAUACAAGUGAGCUAAAGCACCCUAACUUUGACCCUGAAUGAUUCAGUGUUAAAGUUGGAGGGUUUUUUCUACAUUUGUAUCUGUACAGAAUCAUGCCGAUGUAACAGUUGCAUUAUGUUUGAUAUUGAUACAAUUGUUACAUCUGUCUGUACCCCUGGACCAAUAGUCUGUAAUGAAAAAAGCUUUGCAAAUAUCUGGGUUCUUGAUGAUGAUAACCUUUUGACAAGGUUACUGUUCAUAUAACAUCACGCUUGUUAUUUCUUUAUUAUGAAUAGUUCCUUUGGUGCUUCCUUCCUUUUCUGCCCUGUUGGCUAUGUAGCUAGGAAGUAAGGUCAAAUCCAAAUACUUCUCACACAUGCCUAAAAGUGACUUAAAGCCAUGUUCCACUACUGCUUAUUCUGUUGACCCAUAGCUUUCACCCACUGACCCUGCUGAAAUCUGGAUAGUUAUAACAUAGGAAGGGGGAAAAAGAAAAGAUUGCUAUAAUUUAUAAGCAAUCACUUCCAUGUAUUUCACAUUUGUCAUAUAUGCUUAAAUAUAUUUUAUCUGCUUACUGUUUCAAAGCACUGUAGUUUCAAAUUGUAGAAGGUGUUUCAAAUAAGCAUGUGAUUUAAUCAGACAGCUAUACUACAUGAAGUGUCACCAGUUAUUAAGGCUUGUCCUCCAAUUAACUCAAACUGGCAUAAGCCACAAAUAUGUAAUUGCAUCCUUAUUAACACAUUAAGUCUGACAGGAAUUACCAAGCUUAAUAUUCAUGUUCAACAAAACAGUCUAUAGUAAGUUCACUUGAUAUAUGAUCUAGUAUCUUUUUUAAUAUGGUUUCCAAUGAGACAUAAAAUUCCAGGAAUGCUCUGUGAUUUUUUUAGUGGUUGAUUUCAUCUUGGAUCAUUUUGUCUCUGAAAAAUGCAACUAAGUAGAAAUACUUUUUCUACUUUUUAUCCUUUUCAUACUUUUACUGAAUUCCUCAAAAUGUUAACCUUUUGUUCUCAGAUACUCAUUGUAUACUAUAAUAUACUUCUAGACACAGUAGGUACUUGAAAAAAUCAUUAUUUUUUAAAGCUAUUAGCACCAGUCACAUCUGUUAUUCAUAACAUAGGUAAUAUUGUCAUCCCUGACAAUAUUUCUCAAGAUAGAAUCAACUUCUUUUUUUUUAAGCAUGGGUCAAGAUUUGAUAACUGGCAACUGGCCCACUGGGUAGACAAAUCGUUACUUGUUCUGUUCUUUGAAAAAGGCCAAUAACUUACAGGAUGGAUAGGACUUGGAAAUAUUAUUAUACUGAAGAAUCCCCAAGUGGGAAUAGUAAAGAAGUUCCUGCAGUGGAGGGUAACCCUUCUACUCCUCAUUUAAAUGGAAGCAGCAACCUUUUAUUGUUUUUAAGAACUUGAUGUUCUUGUAACUAAGCUUUGGCAAUUGCCCACGCAAGAAGCAAACAGGAACAUUCAGUUCUACUGCAUGUUCUUCAAAUACAUUGAAAAGAUAAGUAAGUGGUACUGCGGAACACGGUUACCAGUUAAAUGCAAGUCAUUUAUUAUGGCUGAAACUAACCUAGAAUAUAAUGGCAGCACUGGGUUAGUCUGAAGGUUUUUUUCAGCAUGAUUAAAAAUAGUUAUACUUUAAAACCUAAGUGUAUGAAAAUGCCAGGCAUAUUUUAUGUUUGUUUACCCAGCUGCUCACCUUGCAAGUGAAAACCUUUUUCUUGUUGCUGUUGUGAUAGCCUUUGAUACAAACUUAUUGUGGGAUCUGAGAAGUCAAGGUGUGUUCUUACUUUGUUUUCCAUUGUCAUUAAUAAAACAUUUUGAAAGAAAAAUGUGUUUAAUAAUUCUAUUGGUGAUGUGCAAUAAGAACAAACUAUCUCCAAAAUUGUAAUUGCUUUGUAAUUUUAAUAUAAGUAAAAGACUAAUUUCAUCAAUAAGGAAAGGAUGAUUCUAAAUGUAUAUGGGAAUAUAUUUAUAGCUUAAAUUUUGCCUUAUUCAUAAAGGCCAGGUAUACAAUAGCUACAUGAUCUCUGUCCCUAAAAUUAUGGA